rnacentral:lncRNA from 1 species
CGCAAGGCCCUCAUGUGAGGAUAUCCGGCGUGAGAUCCAUGCAGCCACACAUUUUUCCCUAUUCGCUACAUGGCGCUUAAUAUCUGCAUGGUAGCGAAACUCAUCUGCAUUACAACGCACAUCUUACGUGGACAUAUGAGACCAUGGUGCUGCCACACAGCAGCCGCCGGUUGAAGCUGAAGCCUUCGUGGACAUUUUGUCAAGGUAUGGAGCCUUUUCUUAACACUUCUCCUUUAAGAAUGCAAGUAAAGAGGUAUGGAAUGGCUUGUUACAUUACGCUGUCACCGUGCUUGUGGAUGUCGGCACUGCCGCAGUAUGACAGCCAGGUUUCGCCUCGCAGGUCGGGCAUUGUGAGCGUGGAGGUGUACAAGUGUCAAUAUAAAUGAUGACGACCACUGCGGACGAAAUGGAGAUGUUGGAAGGAGAAGUGUUGCGAGCGAUGCUACCUCAAGGCCAGCGGACCUUCGCACAGUGCAUGCGGGAUUGCUCAGAUCUACAUUACUUGAUGCAUAUAGGCAUUUGAGACUAGUAUCACAUCAAAUCGCUGUAUCCUGCAUGCUCGCCGCAUUCACUGGCCUUCCUAGACGACAACCGAGACUUUUAACAUUGGCAUUAAAACAGCAUUGCACACAGUUCGUUCUGCGCAUAUCUGUUGUAAUGAGUAUUAGGCUUCGCAGCAUGAGCGAGGUGCAAGAUACCUCUCCACAGUGAGUGUGCUUGUCCUGAGAAAAAUAUUGAAUAUAACUUCGACAGCAUCGUUUGCUGCUUAUGUAUUCAUGACUUCAUGACGAAUAGAGCCUUGUUUUACCCUCAGGUGCGGGCGGUACAACACUUUCAUCCACUUUUGACCUUGAAAUCAAGAUGUACUGAAUGUUGGCAACACUUCUUCCACGAAAUGACCAACACGGAGGAGGACUUGUUGCAUGGAAGGCAUCUGGCAUCUGGUUACCGUGUGCUUGUGAACAUGUUCAUAGCAAUGCAUUCACGACGACCUGCAGUCAAUGACAGACUAACAACCAUUGCAGCUUCCAUUUUUAUGUAUUCUGCACACAUUGAACUUCUGCCGAAUGGAACAUCUUUGCUUUAGUAAAGACAAGCAAUUCCUUAGGUGCAGACAGCGAGGAAGUAUUUCCUCAAUCCAAGUUAGCAUUUCAUCACCAAUGUCAGAAUAGAUGACUGCCUACAAAAUAUGACAGAUGCUUCGCGUGGCAGGCGUAGAGUGGUCAAAUUGUCGUGUGUCUGAGCAGCGUCCAGUCCCAGAGUGCAAUUCAGCAGUAUGCUUCAUUUUAGGACAUUUCUUUUCACAUGCGAAGCAUUGUGAUGAACGCAUCCUUAUGUAAAUAUUUGUCGGCGGCUUGCAACGUUUGGAUCUAAAUUCGUAGUCUCUGCUUUAACCCAAUAUGCUAACUAGGAUAUAUGUCUAAUCCAAAUCGCAGUGGGGGUUGCAAUCUGAACUAGGAAUCCACCACCAUAUGCAGAAUUUUAGUUACCGUCCAAAUAGGCGUUGGCUUUGGAUUCGACAAAAAUGUCCGGGUUUAUAAUUAUUGCUUGUCUUUAGAGCUUAUGGCUGGUUGCAUAACAAAUUGCGGAUGCGAGGCGACUGCUUGCAUAACAAAUUGCGGGUACUGCUAAAGUUGCAAGUCGCAAGUCGCAACUCGCAACUCGCAAGUCGCAAGGAACACGCAAAAUUUCUAUUAUGAUAUACUAUAUACGCGAAUACGUACGUGAACCACGCCUGUAGGGUGUAAACAGAUAGCAUUUGCGGCGUCCGCGUCUGCGGGCUAUGGCCGAUUGCAGGCGCAACUAUGCUGAAGUGGCUUGCGGCCUAUGUGGCUUCGUCUGUCUGAGCAGUGCAAUGUAGCUGUCUGAGCAACGCAAUGUAGCUGUCUGAGCAAUGCAAUGUAGCUGUUCAUACGCACAAGCUCACUCAGGCCUCAUCUAGUUCUUAUCAGUAUUUGCUUAUUGUAUCUCAUCAAGUUCUUAACAGUAUUUGCUUAUGGGCCUUCUGGUG